rnacentral:rRNA from 1 species
CACGGAGUUAGCCGGUGCUUCCUUUGAAGGUACCGUCAAUACACCACUGAUUAGCAUGAUAUAAUUUCUUCCCUUCUGACAGAGGUUUACGAUCCGAGAACCUUCAUCCCUCACGCGGCGUCGCUGCGUCAGGCUUUCGCCCAUUGCGCAAUAUUCCCCACUGCUGCCUCCCGUAGGAGUCUGGGCCGUGUUCCAGUCCCAGUGUGGCUGAUCAUCCUCUCAGACCAGCUACCCAUCGUCGCCUUGGUCGGGCCCGUUACCCCCCAACCAGCUAAUGGGACGCGGACUCAUCGAAAAGCGGAAGCAUAUGCAGAGGCCUCCUUUCCUGCAUAAGUCAUAUAUGCAGCGUAUGCGGUAUUAGCAGUCGUUCAACUGUUAUUCCUCACUCCCCGGUAGACUUAUCCACGUCGUUACUCACCCGUGCCGCCACUCUACUCAUUCCCGAAGUACUUCUCGUUCGACUUGCAUGUGUUAAGCACGCCGCAGCGUUA